GACGAACGCUGGCGGCGUGCUUAACACAUGCAAGUCGAACGGAAAGGCCCUGCUUGCAGGGUACUCGAGUGGCGAACGGGUGAGUAACACGUGGGUGAUCUGCCCUGCACUUCGGGAUAAGCCUGGGAAACUGGGUCUAAUACCGGAUAGGAGCCAUCUUUAGUGUGAUGGUUGGAAAGUUUUUUCGGUGUAGGAUGAGCUCGCGGCCUAUCAGCUUGUUGGUGGGGUAAUGGCCUACCAAGGCGGCGACGGGUAGCCGGCCUGAGAGGGUGGACGGCCAAAUUGGGACUGAGGUACGGCCCAGACUCCUAAGGGAGGGAGCAGGGGGGAAGAUUGCACAAUGGGCGCAAGCCCGAUGCAGCGACGCCGCGGGGGGGAUGACGGCCUUCGGGUUGGAAACUCCUUUCGCUAGGGACGAAGCUUUUUGUGACGGUACCUAGAUAAGAAGCACCGGCUAACUACGUG
rnacentral:rRNA from 1 species